UACGUAGGGGGCAAGCGUUGUCCGGAAUCAUUGGGCGUAAAGCGCGUGUAGGCGGUUCGGUAAGUCGGCUGUGAAAGUCCAGGGCUCAACCCUGGGAUGCCGGUCGAUACUGCCGGACUAGAGUUCGGAAGAGGCGAGUGGAAUUCCCGGUGUAGCGGUGAAAUGCGCAGAUAUCGGGAGGAACACCUAUGGCGAAGGCAGCUCGCUGGGCCACACCUGACGCUGAGACGCGAAAGCUAGGGGAGCGAACAGG
rnacentral:rRNA from 1 species